UACGUAGGUGGCAAGCGUUGUCCGGAUUUACUGGGCGUAAAGGAUGCGUAGGCGGAUGUUUAAGUGAGAUGUGAAAUACCCGAGCUCAACUUGGGUGCUGCAUUUCAAACUGGAUAUCUAGAGUGCAGGAGAGGAAAGCGGAAUUCCUAGUGUAGCGGUGAAAUGCGUAGAGAUUAGGAAGAACACCAGUGGCGAAGGCGGCUUUCUGGACUGUAACUGACGCUGAGGCAGUGCAAAGCG
rnacentral:rRNA from 1 species